rnacentral:rRNA from 1 species
UACGAAGGGUGCAAGCGUUACUCGGAAUUACUGGGCGUAAAGCGUGCGUAGGUGGUUUGUUAAGUCUGAUGUGAAAGCCCUGGGCUCAACCUGGGAAUUGCAUUGGAUACUGGCAGGCUAGAGUGCGGUAGAGGGUAGUGGAAUUCCCGGUGUAGCAGUGAAAUGCGCAGAUAUCGGGAGGAACACCGGUGGCGAAGGCGGUUCUCUGGGCCUGACCUGACGCUGAGGAGCGAAAGCGUGGGGAGCGAACAGG